rnacentral:rRNA from 1 species
CAGCCGCCGCGGUAAUACGUAGGGUGCGAGCGUUAAUCGGAAUUACUGGGCGUAAAGCGGGCGCAGACGGUUACUUAAGCAGGAUGUGAAAUCCCCGGGCUCAACCUGGGAACUGCGUUCUGAACUGGGUAACUAGAGUGUGUCAGAGGGAGGUAGAAUUCCACGUGUAGCAGUGAAAUGCGUAGAGAUGUGGAGGAAUACCGAUGGCGAAGGCAGCCUCCUGGGAUAACACUGACGUUCAUGCCCGAAAGCGUGGGUAGCAAACAGGAUUAGAUACCCCGGUAGUCCCUGUCUCUUAUAC